rnacentral:lncRNA from 1 species
ACUACAGUCCAAUCCAGUUCAGUCCAGUCUCACUUUGUAGUCCUUGAAGAAUUAUAUAACUUUAACUGGGAGCCUUACAGGUUAUUUGAUUGAGAAUAAAUUCUGAAGGGAGUUGAGUUCUGUUAUAAAAAAGACUCCAUGUGGACUGUGGAGGCUUUGUUCACAUAAUUAUAUAUUUUAUUAUUAUGUGUAAUCAUCUUGAAAUAUAUCGGUUGUUCAAGAGGAUUUUUAUUCA